rnacentral:tRNA from 1 species
GCUGGGAUGGUGGAACUGGCAUACACGAUGGCCUGAGGAGCCAUGCCCUUUUUGGGCGUAGGGGUUCAAAUCCCCUUCCCAGCA